rnacentral:tRNA from 1 species
GCCAGAGUGGUGAAAUUGGUAGACACACGGGAUUCAAAAUCCCGCGCCCUUAAAAGCGUGUCGGUUCGAGUCCGACCUCUGGUACCA